UACGUAGGGGGCUAGCGUUGUCCGGAAUCAUUGGGCGUAAAGCGCGUGUAGGCGGUCCGGUAAGUCCGCUGUGAAAGUCGAGGGCUCAACCCUCGAAUGCCGGUGGAUACUGUCGGGCUUGAGUACGGGAGAGGCGAGUGGAAUUCCUGGUGUAGCGGUGAAAUGCGCAGAUAUCGGGAGGAACACCAGUGGCGAAGGCGACUACCUGGCCUGUUCUUGACGCUGAGGCGCGAAAGCUAGGGGAGCAAACGGG
rnacentral:rRNA from 1 species